rnacentral:lncRNA from 1 species
UGCGGGGACGACCUGGGGCUCGGCCCCGGCGGCGACCCCUUCGUCGCCUGCAACGAGUGCGCCUUCCCCGUCUGCCGCGACUGCUACGAGUACGAGCGACGCGAGGGCACCCAGAACUGCCCACAGUGCAAGACCAGAUACAAGCGCCUCAAGGGUCCGUCUCUCACUCACUCUCACUCACUCUCACUCUCACCCACACCCCACCCCGCCCCAAUGCCGCCACCGAGCGAGCGAGCCAGCAAUUUCGAUGGGGAUUUGACGCGUUUUCUGGCUCGGAUUUGUUCCAUUGCAGGGUGCGCGCGCGUGCCCGGGGAUGAGGAGGAGGACGGCGCCGACGACCUCGAGGACGAGUUCAACUGGAGGGACAGGGACGACUCGCAGUACGCCGCCGAGUCCAUGCUCCAUGCCCACAUGACCUACGGCCGCGGCGGAGACCUCGACGGCGUGCACCAGCCCUUCCAGCCAAACCCCAAUGUCCCCCUCCUCAC